rnacentral:rRNA from 1 species
AGUGAACGCUGGCAGCGUGCCUAAUACAUGCAAGUCGAACGGAGUGGCGCACGGGUGAGUAAUAUCUAGCUAAUCUUCCCCUUGCUGGAGGACAACAGUUAGAAAUGACUGCUAAUACUCCAUAGCAAGGGAUGAGACUAUAUCGUAUCAGCUAGUCGGUGGGGUAACGGCCUACCGCGGCUAUGACGCGUAACUGGUGUGAGAGGAUGAUCAGUAACAUUGGAACAGAGACACGGUCCAAGCUCCUACGGGAAGCAGCAGUAGCGAAUAUUGCGCAAUGGGGGAAGCCAUGAAGCGGCAGCGCCGCGUGAAGGAUGACACUUUUCGGAGCGUAAGCUCCUUUUGUUAGGGAAGCGGUACCUAACGAAUAAGCACCGGCUAACUACGUGCCAGCAGCCGCGGUAAUUC